AGAGGGCCGUACACGAGAGGCGUCAUCGCCUCCGCCAGACCGAAUAAUGAGUUCACCUUACCUGAAAAUUGCAAACUCAUCUACAGCUACCAACUUGGAAGUAAGAGAUCUAACAGCGAGUAGACCCAUUCCGUUCAGAGUGUCUACCAGAGGAGC